GUUGAAUAAGUCAUCAUCUAGGAAAAAUUUGGAAACAUGUGCUGACAGGGAAUUAAUGCCUCCUCCUCCUUUACUACCUUUAGUGAAAGAUCCUUCAGCUGAAAAUACACAGAAUGAUGACGAUUUAUUGGAACCACCUAAAAAAAGACUUGCUGGAGCAUUAGGAGGCCUUGUUGCUUACGGCUCAGAAGAUUCCGACGAUGAAAAUAACUCAAUUGGAAGUCCCCUUCCCAUGAAACGGAAAUCGAAUGAUUUGCCAAAAGUAUCAAGGAAGAAUUUUAGUACUCAUAAUAAUAAAUAUAUUAUGUAGAUAAAAAAAAAAUGUACAAAAGUUAAUUCACUUCAGAAACUUCCUUUGAAUUGUUUCCUCUGUAGAGACAUUUAAAAAUUGUUCUGUGGCAUAAAAAUGUUUUUAGUCAAUGACACUUUUUACUUCUCAGGAAAGUAUUUUUUAGCACAUUAUAAUUAUGCUAAUUAAUUACAGGUUACUUAUGCCAUAUUAAUGAAAUGACCACAGGUAAUUUUGAGGUCGUUUAAUUUAAAAUUUUUUCUCUUUUCCAUCUCUA
rnacentral:lncRNA from 1 species